rnacentral:tRNA from 1 species
GGUUGUGGCUCAGUGGUAGAGCAUUCAACUCGCAUCGGUGAGACCCUGGGUUCGAUCCUCAGCACCA